GAUGAACGCUGGCGGCGUGCUUAACACAUGCAAGUCGAACGGAAAGGCCGAAGCUUGCUUCGGUACUCGAGUGGCGAACGGGUGAGUAACACGUGGGUGAUCUGCCCUGUACUUCGGGAUAGGCUUGGGAAACUGGGUCUAAUACCGGAUAUGACGAUCUCUUGGAUGGGGUUGUGGAAAGCUUUUGCGGUAUGGGAUGAGCUCGCGGCCUAUCAGCUUGUUGGUGGGGUAAUGGCCUACCAAGGCGUCGACGGGUAGCCGGCCUGAGAGGGUGUACGGCCACAUUGGGACUGAGAUACGGCCCAGACUCCUACGGGAGGCAGCAAUGGGGAAUAUUGCACAAUGGGCGCAAGCCUGAUGCAGCGACGCCGCGUGGGGGAUGACGGCCUUCGGGUUGUAAACUCCUUUCGCAAUCGACGAAGCCUUUUGGUGACGGUAGGUUGAGAAGAAGCACCGGCUAACUACGUG
rnacentral:rRNA from 1 species